GUUUGUGGAAACACCACGUAAAUUUAUUACUGCAAAGUUUUCUUUUUUUACGGAUCGAAAGCUUUGCAAUAAUAAAUUUACGUGGUGUUUCCACAAACAAUAGUAU